UGAGUAUAAAUAUAUGAGUGCGACAACAACAGCACUGACACUUCUUCUUCUUUACAGACACAUGCCAACAAUGUUUUCAUGAGGUGAUCUUGACUGGGAAAAGCUUAUGCAGUCUUUGAUAUUGUGGAAAACCAGUCCGUCCCCAUUCCUGAGAGUCACGUUGAAAGAGAAUCACAAUUGAGGAAGCAGGUCACAUUUUACAGAGACGGGCGACACUGCAAUAAUGUUCUCAAUUCGGUCUCAGUCGUGUGACUCUUACUCAGAAGAGUUGGUCCAUUUUGAACCUCUGAAAAUGUCCAGAUCCACAGCUCAAAUUGUCACAUUCAAGAACAAAAGGAUUGCUUCUCCAGCCCCAAAACUUACUCGAAAGAGAAGUGACCAAAGUGAGACUAGACGUGGCUCUAGGGGGCGCCAAAAACAGAGACACGGAUAGAGCCUCAGCCUGACGUGGUCCACGCUACAUCAGUCGAACAUGAGAAGACCAAAGAAAUUUACUUCUAAAUGCUACUUAAGAUCAAAUCUGUGUUUCUCAAACUAUGGUACAUGUGACAGCCUGAGUCCAUUGAAUCUACGUUUUGUCCUCUUUUGGAUCAUUUCCUGUUUAGAUCUUCAGUGGAAAUAAUGCAAUCCAUUUUUAGACCUGGUCUAGUCCUAGAUUACACCUGGAAUAGUCCUGUCAUAGACCUGGUUUAGAUCUGGUGGUACAGGGAAAGUGUAAGCUUUUCUUUGGUGGUACUGGAGUGAAAAGUAAAUCAUCUGAUAACUGGACAUGGCUCAUCAUUUUUCUGUUUAUACCCAUCUCCACCUCCUACUGCUUUUAAUUGUGUUCUCUGUGCAGCGACAAACACUAUACAGUGAAUAAAAUGCAUUAUUACUAUGA